rnacentral:rRNA from 1 species
UUCUUGGAGAGUUUGAUCCUGGCUCAGGACGAACGCUGGCGGCGUGCCUAAUACAUGCAAGUCGAGCGAAUCAAUAGGAGCUUGCUCCUGUUGGUUAGCGGCGGACGGGUGAGUAACACGUGGGCAACCUGCCUGUAAGACU